CCAAACAAGGCUUUGUUUCUGGUCCACUCUAUAAAGCCUCGAGCUCAACGCUAUUUCUGACAUUUCGAAUUGAGAGGAUAAGAAGCAAAACGUCUUCAAACUUGGAAACAAAGUCCAGUGGAUUGAGAAUCUUCACCAGCAUAAGAUACUCUGAAACGAAAACUGGAAAACAUGGAAGAACAGAGGCCCAGGCGGUUUCAUCAAGAUGGUUCCAAACGGGCAAGAAAAAGACAACGAGAUCGACAAUUACGUGACAACCAAGAAACUCUGUAUGCCACUCUCAUUGGAGAUAAGGAAGACAAAUUUAUGUUUUAUACCAAAGAUGUAGGAGCAUGGCGCAAAAGACUAAAUGCAGCUUAUGGAGAUCCAAGUUCUACUACAGAAGUCUGUGUUACAUGGCAGACAAAAGAAGGUACCAUUCAAUUAUUCCGAACUGGGACAUGUCUCAUACAGGGCACAGCGGAAAGAAGAGAAAGAUUUUGGAGAAGGUUUAGAGUGAUUUUGAACGGAGAAGCUGUUGAUCCACAAUAAAAAGCAACGACUGCUUCAAGAAUCAGAAAUCAGCUCCAGCGAGUCAUCUGAUAGAAACCAAAACUGAUCAACCUCAUGAUCAAUGCAGAAAAAAAAUGUCUUUAAAAAUAAACUUCAGAAGAGAGAGUUUCUUUUCCUUCCUAUGAAUUUUGACCAGGGAUCAUGUUUAACUCACUCAGAAGGUGGUAGUUUGAGUCCCUCUCGUACUUGAACGUCAGCCUUCCAUAACUGACAUGGUUUAGAUUUUUCAGCCAUUCGAAAUAGGAAACAGUCACACCACCAGCGUUCAGGUACAUGUCCUGAAAAAGAGGAAAAACCUCAGGUUAUCUAGAGCUCCCCUUCUGCUUGUGAACAAAAUGUCUUCUUCAAACCUAAACUGUACUUUUUCAUUUCUUUCUAAUAAAGAUUGUUCUUUAAAAUG